GAUGAAGAACGUAGUGAAAUGCGAUAAGUAGUGUGAAUUGCAGAAUUCAGUGAAUCAUCGAAUCUUUGAACGCACAUUGCGCCCGCCAGUAUUCUGGCGGGCAUGCCUGUUCGAGCGUCAUUUCAACCCUCAAGCACAGCUUGGUGUUGGGACUCGCGUUAAUUCGCGUUCCCCAAAUUGAUUGGCGGUCACGUCGAGCUUCCAUAGCGUAGUAGUAAAACCCUCGUUACUGGUAAUCGUCGCGGCCACGCCGUUAAACCCCAACUUCUGAAUGUUGACCUCGGAUCAGGUAGGAAUACCCGCUGAACUUAAGCAUAUCAAUAAGCGGAGGA
rnacentral:misc_RNA from 1 species